CUGGCUCAGGACGAACGCUGGCGGCGUGCCUAAUACAUGCAAGUCGAGCGAGCUUGCCUAGAUGAUUUUGGUGCUUGCACUAAAUGAAACUAGAUACAAGCGAGCGGCGGACGGGUGAGUAACACGUGGGUAACCUGCCCAAGAGACUGGGAUAACACCUGGAAACAGAUGCUAAUACCGGAUAACAACACUAGACGCAUGUCUAGAGUUUGAAAGAUGGUUCUGCUAUCACUCUUGGAUGGACCUGCGGUGCAUUAGCUAGUUGGUAAGGUAACGGCUUACCAAGGCAAUGAUGCAUAGCCGAGUUGAGAGACUGAUCGGCCACAUUGGGACUGAGACACGGCCCAAACUCCUACGGGAGGCAGCAGUAGGGAAUCUUCCACAAUGGACGAAAGUCUGAUGGAGCAACGCCGCGUGAGUGAAGAAGGGUUUCGGCUCGUAAAGCUCUGUUGGUAGUGAAGAAAGAUAGAGGUAGUAACUGGCCUUUAUUUGACGGUAAUUACUUAGAAAGUCACGGCUAACUACGUGCCAGCAGCCGCGGUAAUACGUAGGUGGCAAGCGUUGUCCGGAUUUAUUGGGCGUAAAGCGAGUGCAGGCGGUUCAAUAAGUCUGAUGUGAAAGCCUUCGGCUCAACCGGAGAAUUGCAUCAGAAACUGUUGAACUUGAGUGCAGAAGAGGAGAGUGGAACUCCAUGUGUAGCGGUGGAAUGCGUAGAUAUAUGGAAGAACACCAGUGGCGAAGGCGGCUCUCUGGUCUGCAACUGACGCUGAGGCUCGAAAGCAUGGGUAGCGAACAGGAUUAGAUACCCUGGUAGUCCAUGCCGUAAACGAUGUUAACUAGUUGUUGGGAAGUAAAAUUCUCAGUAACGCAGCCAACGCGAGAAGUUAACCGCCUGGGAAGUACGGUCGCAAGACUAAAACUCAAAGGAAUUGACGGGGACCCGCACAAGCGGUGGAUGAUGUGGAUUAAUUCGAUGCAACGCGAAAAACCUUACCUACCCUUGACAUGUCAGGAAGCUCUUGUAAUGAGAGCGUGCCCGCAAGGGAGCCUGAACACAGGUGCUGUAUGGCUGUCGUCAGCUCGUGUCGUGAGAUGUUGGGUUAAGUCCCGCAACGAGCGCAACCCUUGUCACUAGUUGCUACGAAAGGGCACUCUAGUGAGACUGCCGGUGACAAACCGGAGGAAGGUGGGGAUGACGUCAAGUCCUCAUGGCCCUUAUGGGUAGGGCUUCACACGUCAUACAAUGGUCGGAACAGAGGGCAGCGAAGCCGUGAGGCGGAAGCAAUCCCAAAAAACCGAUCGUAGUCCCGA
rnacentral:rRNA from 1 species